rnacentral:rRNA from 1 species
ACGCUCGACACCUACGGGAGGUAGCAGUGGGGAAUAUUGCACAAUGGGGGAAACCCUGAUGCAGCGAUGCCGCGUGAAGGAAGAAGUAUCUCGGUAUGUAAACUUCUAUCAGCAGGGAAGAAAAUGACGGUACCUGACUAAGAAGCCCCGGCUAACUACGUGCCAACAGCCGCGGUAAUCUGAGCGGGCUGGCAAGGC